AUUGAACGCUGGCGGCAUGCUUUACACAUGCAAGUCGAACGGUAACAGGCCGCAAGGUGCUGACGAGUGGCGAACGGGUGAGUAAUGCAUCGGAACGUGCCCAGUCGUGGGGGAUAACGCAGCGAAAGCUGUGCUAAUACCGCCUACGAGCUGUGGAUGAAAGCGGGGGACCGAAAGGCCUCGCGCGAUUGGAGCGGCCCAUGUCAGAUUAGUUAGUUGGUGGGGUAAAGGCUCACCAAGCCAACGAUCUGUAGCUGGUCUGAGAGGACGACCAGCCACACUGGGACUGAGACACGGCCCAGACUCCUACGGGAGGCAGCAGUGGGGAAUUUUGGACAAGGGGCGCAAGCCUGAUCCAGCAAUGCCGCGUGCAGGAAGAAGGCCUUCGGGUUGUAAACUGCUUUUGUACGGAGCGAAAAGGCUCUCUCUAAUACAGGGGGCUCAUGACGGUACCGUAAGAAUAAGCACCGGCUAACUACGUGCCAGCCGCCGCCGUAAUAC
rnacentral:rRNA from 1 species